ACAAUCAACUGUAUUUAUUUUCACUUGACUUUAUUUAAGAAUUCGCUUCGUAUCUAUCUCACUUACCCUCAAAUUGCAGUGAAAAAGGAAAAAUUGAUGCUCCCCGAGCUAUAACCGACCAAUGGGUAUCGCACUCGGGGAGCCUGAAAACUGCAUUUGCCUGAUUAGCACAUGUUUUUGACGCAGAGAUUUUCCCCAUAUAGGAGCCGUAUACAACAGUAUUGACUGGUUUAACUUUAGCCAGUAGAAUUUUCGUAGUAUGGCUAUGGCGACCCAUACUCCCCUUACCUCAGUAAGUUUUGCGCUGUAACGCUAUGACCUUGGAUAUACAGGGUGACUUAUACAAACUUUUCCAUCCUCUCCAAGCAACUGUAAGCUACAAGGUGUGUCAAUUAAGUAAAGAGACUGAUUCCAUAAAAACCGUGUAUUUCAAAAUUAUUCUACAAUCCCCUUCUAA